AGCUUUGCACAGUGGCAAUAUUGUAGCCAAUGAGGUUUAUCUGAGGGGCAAUUACUGCUAAUUGAAAACUUUUCCAGUACCCUGCUGUGACAACCUGAAAU
rnacentral:snRNA from 1 species